rnacentral:rRNA from 1 species
GCCCAGCCGUAAACUUUAAUUUACAUUCAAAUCGCCAGGGAACUACGAGCUAAGCUUAAAACCCAAAGGACUUGACGGUACCCCAUAUCCCCCUAGAGGAGCCUGUCCUGUAAUCGAUAAUCCACGUUUAACCUCACCAUUUCUAGUUAAUCAGCCUGUAUACCUCCGUCGUCAGCUUACCACGUGAGCGCCAAUUAGUGAGCUUAAUGUCUUUCACCAACACGUCAGGUCAAGGUGCAGCAAAUGAAAUGGGAAGAGAUGGGCUACACUUUCUAUAUUAGAAAAAACGAAAAACUAUUUAUGAAAACUAGUUGGAAGGCGGAUUUAGCAGUAAAAAGGAAUCAGAAUGUCCAUUUUAACCCGGCACUGGGGUGUGUACACACCGCCCGUCACCCUCUUCAAAGCUUCUAACCUAGUUUUUAACAAACUAAGGCAUAACAGAAGAGGCAAGUCGUAACAUGGUAAGUAUACCGGAAGGUGUGCUUGGAAA